UGACUGGGGCGGUCGCCUCCUAAAAGGUAACGGAGGCGCUCAAAGGUUCCCUCAGAAUGGUUGGAAAUCAUUCAUAGAGUGUAAAGGCAUAAGGGAGCUUGACUGCGAGACCUACAAGUCGAGCAGGGUCGAAAGACGGACUUAGUGAUCCGGUGGUUCCGCAUGGAAGGGCCAUCGCUCAACGGAUAAAAGCUACCCCGGGGAUAACAGGCUUAUCUCCCCCAAGAGUUCACAUCGACGGGGAGGUUUGGCACCUCGAUGUCGGCUCAUCGCAUCCUGGGGCUGUAGUCGGUCCCAAGGGUUGGGCUGUUCGCCCAUUAAAGCGGUACGCGAGCUGGGUUCAGAACGUCGUGAGACAGUUCGGUCCCUAUCCGUCGUGGGCGUAGGAAAUUUGAGAGGAGCUGUCCUUAGUACGAGAGGACCGGGAUGGACAUACCUCUGGUGUACCAGUUGUCGUGCCAACGGCAUAGCUGGGUAGCUAUGUGUGGACGGGAUAAGUGCUGAAAGCAUCUAAGCAUGAAGCCCCCCUCAAGAUGAGAUUUCCCAACUUCGGUUAUAAGAUCCCUCAAAGAUGAUGAGGUUAAUAGGUUCGAGGUGGAAGCAUGGUGACAUGUGGAGCUGACGAAUACUAA
rnacentral:rRNA from 1 species